UACGAAAUGUGCAAACGUUAUUCGGAAUCACUGGGCUUAAAGGGUGCGUAGGCGGUCUUUUAAGUAGGGUGUGAAAGCCCCCGGCUCAACCGGGGAACUGCGCCCUAAACUAGAAGGCUUGAGUAAGGUAGGGGUGUGUGGAACUUCCAGUGGAGUGGUGAAAUGUGUUGAUAUUGGAAGGAACGCCGGUGGCGAAAGCGACACACUGGACCUUGUCUGACGCUGAGGCACGAAAGCCAGGGGAGCAAACGGG
rnacentral:rRNA from 1 species